rnacentral:rRNA from 1 species
AGAAUCAACGCUGGCGGCGUGCCUCAGACAUGCAAGUCGAACGCGAAAGUUCCCUUCGGGGAGCGAGUAGAGUGGCGCACGGGUGAGUAACACGUAGGUAAUCUACCUUUGGGUGGGGAAUAACAGCCGGAAACGGCUGCUAAUACCGCAUAAUGCAGCGGCUCGACAUCGAGACAGUUGUUAAAGCGGGGGAUCGACGAACGACCUCGCGUACCAAAGGAGGAGCCUGGCGGGCGUAUUAGCUUUGGUUGGUGAAGUAAGUGGCU